CCAUUUUUCCUCAUCCUUCACUUUACCACCAUUCCUAAACACCAUAAUUUUUGUCUUUAAUAUAUUAACUGUUAGUCCCCAUUUUGCAUUAUAACUAUAUAGUACAUCUAACAUCUGUUGCAAUCCUUCUAUACUAUUUGAAAAAAUAACCAUAUCGUCUGCAUACAACAACAAAAAAGACUCAAAUCUUUAAAUAACAUGUCUGUACAUCCAUUUAUAAUAAAUUUAUUCUCUAUAUCAUUUAAAAAUAAUGAAAAUAAUAUUGGGGACAAUACUUCACCUUGCUUUAGACCCAGGUCACAUUUUAAAAACAAAUCUGAUUGAAAGCCAUUUACACUAACCCAAGAUUUAACACAAAGGUACAUAGAUUUUAUAACUUUUCCACAUAUUCCAUAUUUAAGUAACUUAUGCCAAAGGUUGGCUCUGUUCACCGAAUCAAAGGCCCUCUUAUAAUCCACAAAACAGCAGUAAAGUCUUCUUUUGGUCUCUAAUGUCUUUGUUAUUGUAGAAUAGAGGGCAAAUAUUGCAUCAACAGUACCGACACCACAACGGAAUCCAAACUGUGCAUCGGUUAGAACAUUAUUUUUUUCAGACCAUUUAUAUAGCCGUUUAUUAAGUACACUAGUAAAUAAUUUUGCUAAACAACUAACAAGACUUAUAGCUCUGUAAUUAUUGGGGUCAUUUACAUCACCUUUCUAAAAAAACCUGGUAUAAUAACGGCUUGAGACCACGAUGCUGGAAAAAAUCCUGAAUUAAGUAUUACAUUAAAUAUAUUGCAAAUUACAGGUAGUAAUAUGUCACUAAAUUCAAUAAGAAACUCAUUUAGUAUUCCAUCAAGACCAUGACUCUUAUUACGUUUUAAAUUUUUAAUAGCACAUAACACCUCACAUUCUGUAAUAGUUUUAUCUAACUCCUCAAAAACAGUAUCGAUAUUAUAAUAGUUAAUAUUCUCACUUGGCAUUUCUAGGGUAGAGUCUCCAGUAGUUACUUUCUUAAAAUGGUUGAAGAAAUCAGUUAAUGUAAUGUUAUUCAAAUUCCUUUUUGUUUUUCUAAAGUAAUGAUAAAAUGUCUUUGGGUUAUAUUUACGCAAAAAAUCCAGCUGAUUUCCUUCCAUCAACUUAUAUUGUCUUUUCAGUUUUACUUCCAAUUUCUUAUAAUUCUUUUUGCAUUCAUUUAGGAGUUUAUGUUUUUCACUGGAUUUAUCAAGAUUAAAUUGAUGCAGGGAGUCUAUAUAUUUGUUAUACAAUGUCCUACAUUCAGGUGUAAACCAUAGCUUGUCAAUAUUAUCACCUGACAUAAAUUCAUGCUGGCGAACACAAUCAAGGUUGGUUUAUACUUCAGUACGAUCUGACAUCGUAUCGAACGCAUAGGUCGCAAGGAGAUCGGAAUGUCAUCGUACUGAAUGCAUUGAAAUCGGACAUGUGUUGGCUACGUCAUCAGCGAUAAAAAUUAUACGCACGGGAUGCAAUCGCAUGCAUAUCGGACCAUUUAACUUUGAGUUAUUUCAUGCGAUAAAUGAAUACGAUGGAGGGCCAGAAGCGACAAAGAAAAACAGGUCUUUUUAGUGCUGCAGAUGAUAAGCAACUUAUAGAAGAAGUUAGAAAGUAUCCUAAUCUGUAUGAUACGUCUAUGCGGGAAUACAGAGACACAGGCCAAAAGUCUACUUGGAAGUAUUUCCAAUUAAUGUCAUUUCUAUCGCCCUUUAUCAAACAUCGUGACAUCGAAAGUAACGUGCCGAGGUAUAUUACCACUGGGCUAUUCUUUGUCCGCAUACAUACAUAUGUACAUACGUGCAUACAUAUAUACAUACAUACAUAAAUAUAUGCAUACAUACAUACAUACAUGCUUUCACAAGUCAAGGGUAAUCUGAUGUUAAUUGUAUGAAAGAGAAUAUGUGGUUAUAUAUUUUAUAACAUUUUUUAUCAUUUAUACGGUAUUUUAAUUUAUACGAAUGAGAGAAGCAUGAAGUAUGAGUCAUAGCUUGUAUCUCACACGUGAAGCUGUCUUUAAUUAGCAAGGUAACAAUUUGUAUUAUUGUAGCUUGUGGUAUGGGUGAGUGAUAGAUGAGUGAUAAGCUGACUGGGUGAAUAUAGUGUGGAACUGGGUUAUUGAGUGGAUGAUUUGUCAUUAAUCGCUGAGAGAGAAUCAUUGAACAUUCAGUUUGGGAAAGACUUGGUAGAAGUGUAAGAGACUUUGUGGAAGUUCGGGUUAGUGUUUAACCCAGCUUGUGUGGUAUCUGUUGAGACCAACAACGGAAUGAGCAGCGAGGGGCAAUGCUAGAGUUUGACCAGGUGAUUGGGCUGCGGAAUUAUGUGAAGAAGGCACGAGGAAACUGACGUUGAUGUUAAUUCAUGGAAGUUGGGUACAGCUGAAGUGGAAAUUGAAGUUCCACAUGUGGGCUACUUAUUAGCCAUGAUGUUGUGGUGGUGAAUAACAAGUGUAUUGUUAUCGUGCAGCAUCUCGGUGAAUAACAAGUGUAUUGUUAUUGUGCAGCAGAAACAUAUUGUGUAAAUAUGGCUGUAGUAUUUAGAGCUGAUCUGAAAUGGAGGGUGCUAACUAAUGUUAGUACAUAAUUUAGUUAGAACAAUAUAUGUAUAUAAAAGUUGAUCACGAGGAAGUGAAUCAUAAGGAUUGUGGUAUGAACUGAAACAUUUUAUAUUGAACUGUGUGGUUUUAGUAUAUUAUUUUGUGUGUUGUGAUACGUGAUAUUUUUAUAUGAAAUUAUGUGUAAAGUGGUGAUAAUGUAUGUUUAUUAUAUAUGAGAAGUGUGAGUGUUGAGGGAGUGCUGGUGAUUAGUGGUAUGUGAGAUGGAUAUAAUUAGGUUUAGUAAGUAGGAGUGGAGAAUGAAUGUGAUUGUUAUUUGUGUGCUGUAAAUAAAUGUAAUAUAAUU